rnacentral:rRNA from 1 species
UGUAAGCGUAUACCAAAGUUGUUGCAGUUAAAACGCUCGUAGUCGGAAUUUGGCAGUUCCGGAUGUGUGCACGUCGUGUGCGCACUUCGCGGGGAUUGCUUUUGUGGUCUUGCGUAGGAUGAGGCACUUUUAUUAGUGAACGUCCUCACGCAACCACUUUUUACUGUGAGAAAAUCAGAGUGCUCAAAGCAGGCAUUUGCCGUGAAUGUAUUAGCAUGGAAUAAUAGAAUAGGACUUGGUUCUAUUUUGUUGGUUUGUUGUGACUGAGUAAUGAUUAAGAGGGACAGUUGGGGGCAUUUGUAUUUCGGUGCUAGAGGUGAAAUUCUUAGAUUACCGAAAGACAAACUGCUGCGAAAGCGUCUGCCAAGGAUGUUUUCAUUGA